UCAGUUUCCUAAGAACCAGUAACCAAAGUGACUCUCUCUCUUCCAGAUAACAGAAGGGACAUUAAGAGUGGCAGGACAUCAGAAGUUCACACAUGAUCACCACAGUGGGAGGAAGAGGAGGAGAGAACUCAUACUACUUCAAAAGAUGAUCACUGUCAAUUUGUUUGAUCCUGGUUUUAGUUUCUUUAGAUCCUGAUUCUGACAUCCAACAUAUUAAUGUAUUUUAGCAACCAUCAAUGAGAUCAGCAUAGUACUUCAUUCAAUUCUUCAUCUACUCCACUGAUAUAAAAGUACUGUACAAGUAUAAGAAGACAGAGCCUAAAGCUGACAACUGAAGCCAUUCAUAAAGAUUUACAUAGAUCCAGGCAUCAGCAUCUAGAAGAUGAUCUUCAUCAACAGAUUUUCCACUGAGCCCAAAACACCUUCACCACUUUUUACUCUUGUGUACAAGCAGAAGACCUGCCAUAUUUGCUUUUGGACUCUUAAAGAUGAAAAGGUUGUCUUAUUCAUCAUCUUUUCAUACCCAGCACUUAGUAAAAUCCCUGGCUUGAAUAACAUUUUUUGAACAGAAGAAAAAGGAAUAGCUUCCUCAAUACAGAAUGGCCUUUUAACAGCAGCAUUCUACCUAGAAUGUAUACUUUUUUAAUGGUCAAUAAGUACAAGAAGCAAAGAAUCAUGCAUUACUACAGACAAAUCUUCACUUUCUACAAGUUCAUGCAAGCCAUGGCUUCAUUACCUCCCCAUAUACCUGCGUCUCCCUUAGCUGGUUCCUCUGAGCCUGAGUUCUACACCCAACUGCCACCCAACAUUCCUGCCUGGAUCCUCUGCCCAUUAUCCAACUUUUCCAAACUCUGAUCACUUCUCUCCCUCUCCAUCAUGCCAACUCCUCCCCAAGUCAGUUAGCUGGAUACCCAUUCCUCCAACUACAACAGCCUCCAUGGGGCUCUAGAGAAAACACACUUUCCUAGCACUGGUCCUUCAAAUAUAAUUAUGUGACUACUUCCACCAACUCUGCUGUCCAGCAGACCUCAGCUCCAACAUGAUGACCUCAGAGAAGCACUCCCAGAACACCAGUCUUAAGCAAAAUCCUCUCAGAAAACCCUUGUGCUGCUCCUU